rnacentral:rRNA from 1 species
GACGUAGGGUGCAAGCGUUGUCCGGAAUUAUUGGGCGUAAAGAGCUCGUAGGCGGCUUGUCGCGUCGGCUGUGAAAACCUGGGGCUCAACCCCGGGCCUGCAGCCGAUACGGGCAAGCUAGAAUUCGGUAGGGGAGACUGGAAUUCCUGGUGUAGCGGUGAAAUGCGCAGAUAUCAGGAGGAACACCGGUGGCGAAGGCGGGUCUCUGGGCCGAUAUUGACGCUGAGGAGCGAAAGCGUGGGGAGCGAACAGG